rnacentral:rRNA from 1 species
GUCUGUUUGAAGAUAAAAAAAGUCUGGCCUGCCCACUGAUAAUUUUUAAAGGGCCGCGGUAAUCUGACCGUGCAAAGGUAGCAUAAUCGUUAGUUUUUUAAUUGGAAUCUUGUAUGAAUGGUUGAACAAAAGGAUGACUGUCUCUAUAUCUUAUUUGAAUUUAACUUCUAAGUGAAAAGGCUUAGAUAUAUUAAAAAGACGAUAAGACCCUGUAAAGCUUGAUAAAUUUUAUUAUUUAACUAAAUUAUUGUUUAUAAGGGUUUAAUGAGAGAAGUUUAUUUUAUUGGGGCGAUAAUGAUAAAAUGUUUUAACUGUUAAUAAAGAAAGACAAGGUUAGGUGUAUAAUUAUAUAAAUGAUCCUUAAGUUAAGAUUAAAAGUUUAAGUUACUUUAGGGAUAACAGCGUUAUUUUUCUUGAGAGUUCAUAUCGAAAGAAAAGUUUGCGACCUCGAUGUUGAAUUAAAAUUUCUAUAUAAUUGCAGAAGUUAUAUUAGAAGGUCUGUUCGACCUUUAAAUUUUUACAUGAUUUGAGUUCAGACCGGCGUGAG